CGAGAAUUUCAUUUCGUGUGCACGAAAACUGACUCCGUCCGCCGGGCGGCUAGAUAUUUUCUUUGUAAUAUUCAGAAAAGGGUCUGAAGUUAACUUGAAUUACGGCUCUCUGCCAUUGGGCUUUGUCUGAAGGUCCAGAUCAGGGUUUGGACUGGUGAAUUGCUCAGUUUGUGGACAUGGCAAGGGCCUCGAAAGGCCAAAUAUAGUCGAAGCAUCGACAGGGAUCAAAUCUUUUACAUUUUGAUAAGCAUGCUGCUUCACAGUUUCCACCAGCAUCUGCAAACAUAACCAGGGAGCUCAUCAGUUUCUUUACCCCCAAGGAAUAUUUUAAAGUUUGCUCCAUCAAUCAUGCAACAGUUCUUUGUCUUCGGAACCAAGUUAUAGCAACCGAAAAAUGAAGGCAGAUCAAGAAUACGCGUGGGAGAUUAGAAAAUGCAAAGGAGUUUGAAAAUGCAUAAUACGCGUACCAUCUGAUGCACGUGGAGUUCAUGCAGAAAACAGAACUGGCCAUUGAUUAUUGCCGCUACAAGCCUGUGGAUGGAAUUGAAAAUGAGACUUACAUCCCCCUCAGCUCCAUGGAAGGCAUAGAACCUAUGGUCAUCCAACUUACAGGUCAUAGCAUGCUCUAUGAUUGUUUCCCAUAACUUGUUCGAGAUCACACCGAAAGCCUACAUUUUCGCAGCAGAAAAUUAGAUAGAUAUAGAUUAAACGACGGGCAUAAACUACCGUAGGCACACUGCGUAGCAGAACAAAUGAUUCUCUUACAUUUCGUAGCAAGGAUGCAUCUCUCAUGUACAACUGCAGGAAGUCCUCGACUGUGCUGAUUCCAUUCUCGCAGAGUCUCUUAUGGAAGGCUCCGUCUUUUGCUAUCUUUUGCAGGCACCAUAUUUCAUCGUUUAGGUGUAGAUAGUGCUUCUUAUAAACUGAAUCAACAUUUUCUAGGUCAGUUUCGUUUAGUUCAAUGCCAAAAUUGUCUAUAUUUUAGUAAAGAUCAAAGAGUAGUGAGUUAAGUUUUUGUGAA